GAUGAACGCUGGCGGCGUGCCUAACACAUGCAAGUCGAACGAAGCAUCCCAUAGGAAGUUUUCGGAUGGAAUAUGGGAUGACUGAGUGGCGGACGGGUGAGUAACGCGUGGAUAACCUGCCUCACACUGGGGGAUAACAGUUAGAAAUGGCUGCUAAUACCGCAUAAGCGCACAGUACCGCAUGGUACGGUGUGAAAAACCCAGGUGGUGUGAGAUGGAUCCGCGUCUGAUUAGCCAGUUGGCGGGGUAACGGCCCACCAAAGCGACGAUCAGUAGCCGACCUGAGAGGGUGACCGGCCACAUUGGGACUGAGACACGGCCCAAACUCCUACGGGAGGCAGCAGUGGGGAAUAUUGCACAAUGGGCGAAAGCCUGAUGCAGCGACGCCGCGUGAGUGAAGAAGUAUCUCGGUAUGUGAAGCUCUAUCAGCAGGGAAGAAAAUGACGGUACCUGACUAAGAAGCCCCGGCUAACUACGUGCCAGCAGCCGCGGUAAUACGUAGGGGGCAAGCGUUAUCCGGAUUUACUGGGUGUAAAGGGAGCGUAGACGGCGAUGCAAGUCUGAAGUGAAAGCCCGGGGCUCAACCCCGGGACUGCUUUGGAAACUGUGUGGCUGGAGUGCAGGAGAGGUAAGUGGAAUUCCUAGUGUAGCGGUGAAAUGCGUAGAUAUUAGGAGGAACACCAGUGGCGAAGGCGGCUUACUGGACUGUAACUGACGUUGAGGCUCGAAAGCGUGGGGAGCAAACAGGAUUAGAUACCCUGNUAGUCCACGCCGUAAACGAUGAAUGCUAGGUGUCGGGGGGCAAAGCCCCUCGGUGCCGCCGCUAACGCNAUAANCAUUCCACCUGGGGAGUACNUUCNCAAGAAUGAAACUCAAAGGAANUGACGGGGACCCGCACAAGCGGUGGAGCAUGUGGUUUAAUUUCGAGCAACGCGAGAACCUUACCAGUCUUGACAUCCCCCCUGACGGACAGUAACGUGUCCCUUCGUUCGGGACAGGGAGAACAGGUGGUGC
rnacentral:rRNA from 1 species